rnacentral:rRNA from 1 species
AACGAACGCUGGCGGCAUGCCUAACACAUGCAAGUCGAACGAUUGCCUUCGGGUGAUAGUGGCGCACGGGUGCGUAACGCGUGGGAAUCUGCCCUUAGGUUCGGAAUAACAGCUGGAAACGGCUGCUAAUACCGGAUGAUAUCGCGAGAUCAAAGAUUUACCGCCUGAGGAUGAGCCCGCGUUGGAUUAGGUAGUUGGUGGGGUAAAGGCCUACCAAGCCGACGAUCCAUAGCUGGUCUGAGAGGAUGAUCAGCCACACUGGGACUGAGACACGGCCCAGACUCCUACGGGAGGCAGCAGUGGGGAAUAUUGGACAAUGGGCGCAAGCCUGAUCCAGCAAUGCCGCGUGAGUGAUGAAGGCCCUAGGGUUGUAAAGCUCUUUUACCCGGGAAGAUAAUGACUGUACCGGGAGAAUAAGCCCCGGCUAACUCCGUG